GUGCACGCCGGGAACGCAGGAUUUUGGAUCGGAAUCGGCCAUGACUCCAUUUUACACGGUUAAUGGCCUGCAAGGCCCUGUUUGGAUCCCACUGCUAGAGCUAGUUAGAGCUAAACUAAUUCCCAAAGUAUCCAAACACAUAGCCUUGUUUGGGUUAGAUGCAAACUAACCCAUAAAAAACUAGCCCUAAAAAGAGGUGCUAGUUGGAGCUAGUUGGGAUGGACAGGUAAAAAUAAUAAUAUUUUAAUCGCAUCGGAUCAUUUCCUCUCCAUCCUCCUGCAUCGCGCGUCGCUCGGCCGCGCUCGCCCCUCCGGC
rnacentral:lncRNA from 1 species